rnacentral:rRNA from 1 species
CGACAGGCGUAGGCGAUGGAUAACAGGUUGAUAUUCCUGUACCACCUAUAAUCGUUUUAAUCGAUGGGGGGACGCAGUAGGAUAGGCGAAGCGUGCGAUUGGAUUGCACGUCUAAGCAGUAAGGCUGAGUAUUAGGCAAAUCCGGUACUCGUUAAGGCUGAGCUGUGAUGGGGAGAAGACAUUGAGUCUUCGAGUCGUUGAUUUCACACUGCCGAGAAAAGCCUCUAGAUAGAAAAUAGGUGCCCGUACCGCAAACCGACACAGGUAGUCAAGAUGAGAAUUCUAAGGUGAGCGAGCGAACUCUCGUUAAGGAACUCGGCAAAAUGACCCCGUAACUUCGGGAGAAGGGGUGCUCUUUAGGGUUAACGCCCAGAAGAGCCGCAGUGAAUAGGCCCAAGCGACUGUUUAUCAAAAACACAGGUCUCUGCUAAACCGUAAGGUGAUGUAUAGGGGCUGACGCCUGCCCGGUGCUGGAAGGUUAAGAGGAGUGGUUAGCUUCUGCGAAGCUACGAAUCGAAGCCCCAGUAAACGGCGGCCGUAACUAUAACGGUCCUAAGGUAGCGAAAUUCCUUGUCGGGUAAGUUCCGACCCGCACGAAAGGCGUAACGAUUUGGGCACUGUCUCAACGAGAGACUCGGUGAAAUCAUAGUACCUGUGAAGAUGCAGGUUACCCGCGACAGGACGGAAAGACCCCGUGGAGCUUUACUGUAGCCUGAUAUUGAAAUUCGGCACAGCUUGUACAGGAUAGGUAGGAGCCUUUGAAACGUGAGCGCUAGCUUACGUGGAGGCGCUGGUGGGAUACUACCCUAGCUGUGUUGGCUUUCUAACCCGCACCACUUAUCGUGGUGGGAGACAGUGUCAGGCGGGCAGUUUGACUGGGGCGGUCGCCUCCUAAAAGGUAACGGAGGCGCUCAAAGGUUCCCUCAGAAUGGUUGGAAAUCAUUCAUAGAGUGUAAAGGCAUAAGGGAGCUUGACUGCGAGACCUACAAGUCGAGCAGGGUCGAAAGACGGACUUAGUGAUCCGGUGGUUCCGCAUGGAAGGGCCAUCGCUCAACGGAUAAAAGCUACCCCGGGGAUAACAGGCUUAUCUCCCCCAAGAGUUCACAUCGACGGGGAGGUUUGGCACCUCGAUGUCGGCUCAUCGCAUCCUGGGGCUGUAGUCGGUCCCAAGGGUUGGGCUGUUCGCCCAUUAAAGCGGUACGCGAGCUGGGUUCAGAACGUCGUGAGACAGUUCGGUCCCUAUCCGUCGUGGGCGUAGGAAAUUUGAGAGGAGCUGUCCUUAGUACGAGAGGACCGGGAUGGACAUACCUCUGGUGUACCAGUUGUCGUGCCAACGGCAUAGCUGGGUAGCUAUGUGUGGACGGGAUAAGUGCUGAAAGCAUCUAAGCAUGAAGCCCCCCUCAAGAUGAGAUUUCCCAACUUCGGUUAUAAGAUCCCUCAAAGAUGAUGAGGUUAAUAGGUUCGAGGUGGAAGCAUGGUGACAUGUGGAGCUGACGAAUACUAAUCGAUCGAAGACUUAAUCAAAA